rnacentral:rRNA from 1 species
GGACUACUAGGGUUUCUAAUCCUGUUUGCUACCUAAGCCUUCGUCCCUCAACGUCAGUUGUUAGAUAAAAGGUUGCUUUCGCCACUGCCAGUCCUCAUGGUAUCAAAAAAUUUUAUCUCUACUCCAUGAAUACUCCCCUUCUCAUAUAAAACUCUAGCAAUACCGUACCCUAUAUUGGGCUAAUAAUACCGUCUAGGUACCCUUUAAACCUACUAAAGAUGAAUAACACUAGUCUUCUACGUAUUACCGCGGCUGCUGGCAC